AUUGAACGCUGGCGGCAGGCUUAACACAUGCAAGUCGAGCGGAGAUGAGGUGCUUGCACCUUAUCUUAGCGGCGGACGGGUGAGUAAUGCUUAGGAAUCUGCCUAUUAGUGGGGGACAACAUUCCGAAAGGAAUGCUAAUACCGCAUACGCCCUACGGGGGAAAGCAGGGGAUCUUCGGACCUUGCGCUAAUAGAUGAGCCUAAGUCGGAUUAGCUAGUUGGUAGGGUAAAGGCCUACCAAGGCGACGAUCUGUAGCGGGUCUGAGCGGACGAUCCGCCACAAUGGGACUAAGCCACGGCACAGACUCCUACGGGAGGCAGCAGUGGGGAAUAUUGGACAAUGGGCGGAAGCCUGAUCCAGCCAUGCCGCGUGUGUGAAGAAGGCCUUUUGGUUGUAAAGCACUUUAAGCGAGGAGGAGGCUACCUGGAUUAAUACUCUAGGAUAGUGGACGUUACUCGCAGAAUAAGCACCGGCUAACUCUGUGCCAGCCGCCGCGGUAACAC
rnacentral:rRNA from 1 species